rnacentral:rRNA from 1 species
AUUCCCCUAGUAGCGGCGAGCGAAGCGGGAAAAGCUCAAAUUUGUAAUCUGGCGUCUUCGACGUCCGAGUUGUAAUCUCGAGAAGUGUUUUCCGUGAUAGACCGCAUACAAGUCUCUUGGAACAGAGCGUCAUAGUGGUGAGAACCCAGUACACGAUGCGGAUGCCUAUUACUUUGUGAUACACUUUCGAAGAGUCGAGUUGUUUGGGAAUGCAGCUCAAAUUGGGUGGUAAAUUCCAUCUAAAGCUAAAUAUUGGCGAGAGACCGAUAGCGAACAAGUACCGUGAGGGAAAGAUGAAAAGCACUUUGGAAAGAGAGUUAACAGUACGUGAAAUUGUUGGAAGGGAAACACAUGCAGUGAUACUUGCUAUUCGGGGCAACUCGAUUGGCAGGCCCGCAUCAGUUUUUCGGGGCGGAAAAUCGUAGAGAGAAGGUAGCAGUUUCGGCUGUGUUAUAGCUCUUUACUGGAUUCGCCCUGGGGGACUGAGGAACGCAGCGUGCUUUUAGCAUGAGC